GGAGGGAUGGCAGAGUGGACGAAUGCGCCGGUCUUGAAAACCGGUAUACCUCCGGGUAUCGUGGGUUCGAAUCCCACUCCCUCCGCCA
rnacentral:tRNA from 1 species